GUCAAGUGGAAAUAAACCUGCAAACGC
rnacentral:sRNA from 1 species